UAGCUCAGCUGGUAAAGAAUCUGCCUGUAAAGCAGGAGACCCUGGUUCGAUUCCUGG
rnacentral:tRNA from 1 species